UGAGUACGAGAGUCUACGGACUCGAAGUGUGUGAUAUCAAGCUUCCUAGAAAAUCCCGGACCACGUUAAUCUGAUUCACCCGUACCCUAAACCGACACAGGUGGGAUGGUUGAGAAUACUAAAGGGCGCGAGAUAACUCUCUCUAAGGAACUCGGCAAAAUGGCCCCGUAACUUCGGGAGAAGGGGUGCCCAUCGCAAGAUGGGUCGCAGUGAAGAGUCCCAGGCGACUGUUUACCAAAAACACAGGUUUCCGCGAAGUCGUAAGACGAAGUAUGGGAGCUGACGCCUGCCCAGUGCCGGAAGGUUAAGGAAGUUGGUCAGCCCUUGAGGUGAAGCUGACGACCGAAGCCCCGGUGAACGGCGGCCGUAACAAUAACGGUCCUAAGGUAGCGAAAUUCCUUGUCAGGUAAGUUCUGACCCGCACGAAAGGCGUAACGAUCUGGGAGCUGUCUCGGAGAGAGGCUCGGCGAAAUAGGAUUGUCUGUGAAGAUACGGACUACCUGCACCUGGACAGAAAGACCCUAUGAAGCUUUACUGUAGCCUGGCAUUGGGUUCGGGCUUUAACUGCGCAGAAUAGGUGGGAGACUAUGAUCUAAUGCUUGUGGGCAUUAGGGAGUCACCAGUGAGAUACCACUCUGUUAAAGCUAGAAUUCUAACCUGCAUCCGUUAUCCGGAGUGGGAACAUUGUCAGGUGGGCAGUUUGACUGGGGCGGUCGCCUCCUAAAUGGUAACGGAGGCGCGCAAAGGUUCUCUCAGGCUGGUUGGAAAUCAGCCGUUGAGUGUAAAGGUAUAAGAGAGCUUGACUGUGAGACCAACAAGUCGAACAGGGACGAAAGUCGGCCUUAGUGAUCCGACGGUAGUGGGUGGAAGCGCCGUCGCUCAACGAAUAAAAGUUACUCUAGGGAUAACAGGCUGAUCUCCCCCAAGAGUUCACAUCGACGGGGAGGUUUGGCACCUCGAUGUCGGCUCAUCGCAACCUGGGGCGGUAGUACGUCCCAAGGGUUGGGCUGUUCGCCCAUUAAAGCGGUACGUGAGCUGGGUUCAGAACGUCGUGAGACAGUUCGGUCCAUAUCCGGUGUAGGCGUAGGAUUAUUGAGAGGAGCCUUCCUUAGUACGAGAGGACCGGGAAGGACGCACCGCUAGUGUGCCUGUUAUCGUGCCAACGGUAAACGCAGGGUAGCUAUGUGCGGAGUGGAUAACCGCUGAAAGCAUCUAAGUGGGAAGCCCACCUCAAGAUGAGUAAUCCCAUGGGGUUAACCCAGUAAGGUCACGGGAAGACCACCCGUUGAUAGGUUCUAGAUGGAAGCUCAGUAAUGAGUGCAGUCGAGGAAUACUAAUAGACCGAGGGCUUGAC
rnacentral:rRNA from 1 species